GAUGAACGCUGGCGGCGUGCUUAACACAUGCAAGUCGAACGAGAGAAGAUCGGUGCUUGCACUGAUCCGAUCGAGUGGCGGACGGGUGAGUAACGCGUGGGUAACCUGCCUCAUACAGGGGAAUAACAGUUGGAAACGGCUGCUAAAACCGCAUAAGCGCACAGUAUCGCAUGGUACAGUGUGAAGAACUCCGGUGGUAUGAGAUGGACCCGCGUCUGAUUAGCUAGUUGGUGAGGUAACGGCCCACCAAGGCAACGAUCAGUAGCCGGCCUGAGAGGGUGAACGGCCACAUUGGGACUGAGACACGGCCCAAACUCCUACGGGAGGCAGCAGUGGGGAAUAUUGCACAAUGGGGGAAACCCUGAUGCAGCGACGCCGCGUGAGUGAUGAGGUAUUUCGGUAUGUAAAGCUCUAUCAGCAGGGAAGAUAAUGACGGUACCUGACUAAGAAGCACCGGCUAAAUACGUGCCAGCCGCCGCCGUAA
rnacentral:rRNA from 1 species